CUUCAAUUCAAUCAACGGGGACAAGGGCAGACGGCGGCGGGUAACUGCUCCCCUGCUCGUCGCCGGUCGACGGGCAGCUACUUUUUAGGGUUUCGGUUCGAUCUCAUCCCACCACCACCACCACCAGCAUAGGAGGAGAGUGCACCUUGGGCCGAUGGUCGCGAUGCUGGCCGCCCGAAAUCCCUCGCCGAGCUUCCACGCGCACGACCGCCCUCCUCCGCCGGCACAUGACAUCGCGGAGCGCCUCAGCCAUCUACGCGAUCUUCGCAGGGAACCGCUCCCCAGACGCGUCGCCCGCAUCGCCGACCUCCACACCGAUGAGGCCAGCCCCGUGCGCAAGCAUGCAGCCGAGAUUAUUGGUGAGGUCGGGUCCAAACACAUGGAGUACCUACCAGAUAUCAUCCCUUGUUUGCUGCACCUUCUGAAUGAUGAGGCGCCUGCAGUUGUCAGGCAAGCUAUCAAAACAGGAACCGCCUUGUUUGCCAAGCUGCUCCAACACCUAGUUAUCCAGGGAUUAUUUUCCACCGGGGGGAUUGAUGAUGCCCUUAAAUCAUCAUGGGAGUGGCUGCUCAAAUUCAAAUCUGCUGUCUCUCUCAUGGCAUUUCAGACCACUGGCAAUGAAGGUGCCAGGUUACUGGCCGUUAAGUUUGUUGAAAAAACAGUUCUUAUGUACACACCGGAUCCUAAUAUCCCAUCAGAUCCAACAAGCGAAGCUACGAAAGAUAUGGGAUUCAAUGUAGCAUGGUUACGAGGAGGUCACCCUUUGCUUAAUGUCAGGGAUCUAGCCAUGGAAGCCAGCCAGAACCUCGGAUUGUUGCUAGAGCAGCUCAAGUCUCCUAAAGUAAAAUCACUCAGUACUUCCAUGAUCAUUGUCUUCAUUACUAGUCUCUCAGCUAUUGCCCAAAGAAGGCCUUCCUUUUACGGACGCAUACUGCCAGUUUUACUUUCCUUGGAUCCAGCAAGUUCAAUCAUUAAAUUGCGAGUCCCAGGUGCAUUCCAUGCUUUGAAGAGUGCCUUUUCUGCGUGCCUAGAAUGUACACAUUCAAGUGCUGAGCCGUGGCGAGCACGUCUAUUGGAAGCUCAAAAUAUUAUCAACCAGGGGGGUUCAAUAGAAGAUACAACAAAUGCUGGUAAGAAUUUUGGGGACACAUCAAACAGGGAAGAAUCGUGGCCUCUGAUGGAGAGAAGCACUGACAGUAGUAACAAGCGUAGUCUGGCUGAGGACAUGAAUCAUAUGACAGAAGAUGAUGGUCACUCCAGUAAAAGAAUCAGACAUUCACUUGAUAUUCAAGAACAUAGUGAAGAGGCAAGCAAGAGAAAUGUUGAAUCAACCUCUGUUAAUAUCUCAUCUAGCCAGCCCAUCUCUAUAAGAACUGGGAAUUCUGAAGCUGUGUAUCAAUUAAUUGGUAUGUUUGCGGCUCUAGCUGCACAAGGUGACAGAGCUGCUGGAUCACUGCAAAUCCUUUCAUCCAGUAUCGCUAGCGAUUUAUUAGCGGAGGUUGUAAUGGUUAACAUGCAACACAUCCCUAUUUCUCGUCCUGAAGCUGACCAACACCAGCUUCCUUCUACUAGCUCUGGGGAUGGAAUAGCAUUGUCAAGUUCCUUCUCUCUGUUGGCAUCUCUACUGAAGAGAGCGGGUCAAAUUGAUCAAUAUGAAGUGCCUCCAGCUAAGGAAUCUGCAGUAGUAUUAUCUUAUGCAGAUGAUGUCAUGACAGUUCCUGCUAGUUCACCUGUUCCUAGUUCAGUAAGUCUUCCCAUGGAAGAGAACAGUAGCAGUCCCAAUGUUCCAUGUAUGGAAACAGGAGAGGUCAAAGUAACUAGUGCAGGUGCCAAUAGUUUGGUUGAUAUUCUAGAAUCAUCAGAGGCUUCCCAUGCUUCAACAGAACCUCAGGGAGCCCAAGAGCAUGUUAGCAGUUUUAUCAGUUCAUUGCCUGCUGAUAAUUCCUCUGCUGGUCUUAGUUUGGCUCAGUCUACAGAAACUAGCAGCCCAAGCUCCUCUAUACUGGAAGCAAACAACUCACAGCUUUCAUCUUUGAAUUCCCUUGGUUCACAAUAUGCUCUUCCAAAGUUUGUUGUCAAUAACAUUGAUCUCAGCGACGAGGCCAAAGAUCUGCUUCAAAAAGAAUCAUUUUUGCGUAUUCUUGAGAGUGAUAAGCAAGAAGCAACUGGUGGCUCAAUUGCUCGCCUUCCGCUGCUUGCUCACUUGGGUGUUGAGUUUCCUCUGGAAUUGGACCCAUGGGAGCUUCUCCAAAAGCAUGUCCUCUCUGACUAUGCAAAUAAUGAGGGGCACGAGUUGACUCUAUGCAUCCUGAACCGGUUAUAUCGUGAGGCCGAGCAGGAUCAAGAUUUUCUUUCAUCUAGAACUGCUACAUCAGUUUAUGAAUCCUUUCUUCUGACUGUAGCUGAAAAUCUUCGAGACAUGUUUCCGGCUUCAGAUAAGUCACUUGGCAAAUUGCUUUGUGAGGCACCAUACUUACCAGAAGAUGUGUUGAAACUUCUAGAAGGUUUAUGUUCUCCUGGAAGUAAUGAGAAGCAGGACAAGGAUAUCCAGAGUGGUGAUAGGGUAACACAAGGUCUCAGUGCUGUCUGGAACCUUAUCAUGCUAAGACCUUUAAAUCAGGACAGAUGUCUGGAAAUUGCUUUGCAGAGUUCAACUCAUCAUUUAGAGGAGGUCCGCAUGAAGGCAAUACGUUUGGUAGCAAAUAAGUUAUUUCCCAUGGCAAGCAUUUCCAAAAAGAUUGAAGAUUUUGCAAAUGAAAAACUUAAUUCAGUUCUAGAAGUGAUUCCAUCUGGUGAUUCUGCAGCUACUGAAACAGCUACUCCUGAAGCACACAAUGAUGGUAUUUUAGAAAAUUUAUCAGCUUCAGUGGCAGAUGCUCAAACUCUAAUGUCGCUGUAUUUUGCAUUGUGCACCAAGAAACAUUCCCUCCUCAGACAUGUAUUUGCAAUAUAUGGUAGCCUACCUCAAGCUGCCAAGCAGGCAGUUCACCGACAAGUACCAAUUCUAAUACGCACAAUAGGCUCCUCUCCUGAUCUUCUUGGGAUCAUCUCAGAUCCACCAGGUGACAGCCAGGACCUCCUAAUGCAGGUUUUACAAACCCUCACUGAUGCUGCAGUUCCAUCCAAAGAAUUGACUUCUUCCAUAAAAAACUUAUAUUCUAAAACAAAGGAUGUUGAGUUCCUUUUUGCAGUCUUGUCUCAUCUGCCAAAAGACGAGGUUUUGUCCCCCUCCCACUACAUACCACUAAUUAGCAUUAUCAUAUUCUAGGCUGCGGCUUAAACUUUAGCAAUCUUCUGCAGUUGUCUAUACUACUGCCAAUUAUUUGCACUUUAUUUUGCAAUUGCACAUGCCUGUUAAACUGCUAUCUUUUUUAUUCCAUGGAAAUUGCCACCCUGUUUAUUGUAAGUGUUUUGCCUUUCAAUUGUAUGAACCUUGAGUCCUUGACAUUAACUGGCUUUCUGCUAUACUGGAGUAAUACUUUUGACAUUAUUGUUGGGAAACAUCUAUGGGUCCGACCAUAUCGUCCAAACGCCCUGACUCUGUGCACUGCUGAGGAAAACAAUUGCUCCCUAGUCUCCGCAAGGAUAGAAAUGGCUCCACCUUGAUUUGCUGCCAUCGUAUAGCAGGAUGCAGUCGGAUGUGUAGCAGAACUCCUAUUGUUGAGAUGCUUCUUAUAUUUUUAUCCAGGUCCUGCCUGUGUUCCCCAGUAUUGUUAAUCUUCCCAUGGACAAGUUUCAGGCCGCCCUUUCACGAAUCUUGCAGGGAUCAUCCCAGAAUGGCCCUUCUCUUGAUCCAUCAGAAAUUUUAAUUGCAAUUCAUGUAAUAUAUCCUGAUAAGGAAGGAAUACCACUCAAAAAGGUUAUGGAUGCAUGCUCUGCUUGCUUCGAGCAAAGAACAAUAUUCACCCAGCAAAUUUUGGCAAAAGCACUAAAUCAACUGGUUGAGCAAAUUCCUCUUCCUUUGCUAUUCAUGAGGACUGUUAUGCAAGCAAUAGGUGUUUUUCCUGCAUUGGUGGAUUUUGUGAUGGAGAUCAUGUCACGCCUUGUGAGCAAGCAGAUUUGGAAAUAUCCUAAGUUAUGGGUAGGAUUUCUGAAGUGUGCUAUCUUGACGAAACCUCAGUCAUAUGGUGUGUUACUGCAGUUACCAGCUCCUCAACUUGAGAAUGCCUUGAGUAAGAAUCCCACACUGAAGGCACCCUUGGUUGAGCAUGCCGAGCAGCCAAAUGUCCGAUCUACUCUUCCAAGGUCUACUUUGGUGGUUCUGGGUCUUGCUGAAGAUCAACAACAACCAGCACCAGCAGUAAGUCAAGUGCAGAGCAGCCAAAACCAGGCUGCCGAUACCAGAAGCUCUGCUGCAGAUACGACUACAGAAGUAACUCAGGAGUCUUCUGCUGCUAGUUAGCAUGUUUGUGAAGUGAAAGCCUUGCUCCAAGAUUUGAUGGCCUAAAGGGGAAGACUGGCGAGACCCCAUUAGUGAAUCCGACAAGACCUAAUUUAUUUUAUUUAGUUGAUGGAUAAAUUUAAUGACCAUGUGAAGCAAAGAGGGAAAGACAUAAGAGUUAAUGUUUCAUUCUAAUAUAUCCUGCUUUUUUUUUAAUGUCUGAACCACAUUGUGUACA